rnacentral:rRNA from 1 species
UGCCAGCAGCCGCGGUAAUGCGGAGGGUGCGAGCGUUAAUCGGAAUUACUGGGCGUAAAGCGCGCGUAGGCGGCUUCGUCAGUCAGAUGUGAAAGCCCCGGGCUCAACCUGGGAACUGCAUUUGAUACUGCGGAGCUAGAGUAUGGUAGAGGAUAGUGGAAUUCCUGGUGUAGCAGUGAAAUGCGUGGAUAUCAGGAGGAACAUCAAUGGCGAAGGCAACUUACUGGACAUUUACUGACGCUCAGACACGAAGGCUAGGGUAGCGAAAGGGAUUAGAUA